rnacentral:rRNA from 1 species
UUCCAGACUCCUACGGGAGGCAGCAGUCGGGAAUAUUGCGCAAUGGAGGAAACUCUGACGCAGUGACGCCGCGUGCAGGAAGAAGGUUUUCGGAUUGUAAACUGCUUUAGACAGGGAAGAUACAAGACAGUACCUGUAAAAUAAGCUCCGGCUAACUACGUGCCAGCAGCCGCGGUAAUACGGAGGGUGCAAGCGUUACUCGGAAUCACUGGGCGUAAAGAGCGCGUAGGCGGGAUAGCAAGUCAGAUGUGAAAUCCUAUGGCUUAACCAUAGAACUGCAUUUGAAACUGUUAUUCUAGAGUAUGGGAGAGGUAGGUGGAAUUCUUGGUGUAGGGGUAAAAUCCGUAGAGAUCAAGAGGAAUACUCAUUGCGAAGGCGACCUGCUAGAACAUAACUGACGCUGAUGCGCGAAAGCGUGGGGAGCAAACAGGAUUAGAUACCCCAGUAC